rnacentral:lncRNA from 1 species
CAAGCCCAAGCCCAAGCCCAAGCCCAAGCCCAAGCAAUACAAAUAAAUCCAACCCAAUUGAAAUUAAGCCCAAACCUAAUUGUUAACUAAUAAACCAACCCACUUAAUUAUUAAACCAAUUAACCCAAAAUCCAAUUGAUAACUAAUACCCAACCCACUUAACUAAUAACCCAGUUAACCCAACCAAGAUGCAACCCGAUUUGGGACGACGGGGCUGUCGUCACAGGUGUCGUCCGUUGAUAGCGACGGCAGACGAGUCAACGAAGUGGACGAAGACUCGGUGGAGAGCAAGAAGGCGUUGGGUCAAUUUGGGUUCUGUCACCUGGAUAUGGAUUGGGUUACUGUUGUAUGUAUUGAGCUGGGGUCGUCGAUGGUCGGUCUGGGAAGUAUGGGUUAUUGAUGCCGAGGAUUUGUGGGUAAUUCGUUGGGUUACUUAUUGGAGUGGUGAUGACAGGCGUCGGAGCUGUGAGGAUGAUCGAGAGUGGGGUUCCAUGAAUAGAGGUGGCGACCACGGAGUGGUCUGAUUUCUGGGUUACUGUGACUGUCUGCAGUUAUUGUUCAUCGUGGGUGGUUAUUUUGUGAACAGUUGAGAUGAAGAUAACCAGGUUUUGGCUCUGAUACCAAUUUGAUGUAGAAUGAUUAAUUCAAUAAAGAUAACAAGAAGAGAUAUAGGAGAAGGAAGAAGAAAGGAUGAUCGAGAGUGGGGUUCCAUGAAUAGAGGUGGCGACCACGGAGUGGUCUGAUUUCUGGGUUACUGUGACU